GACGAACGCUGGCGGCGUGCUUAACACAUGCAAGUCGAACGGGUGCAGCAAUGCACCAGUGGCGCACGGGUGAGUAAUGUAUCGCUAACGUGCCCCGGAGCCUGGGAUAGCUGUCCGAAAGGGCAGGUAAUACCGGAUGAGACCACGGAGAGGCAUCUCUCAGUGCUCAAAGCCGCAAGGCACUCUGGGAGCGGGCGAUAUCGUAUCAGCAGUUGGCGGGUAACGGCCCACCAAGGCUGCGACGCGUAGCUGGUCUGAGAGGACGGCCAGCCACAUCGGGACUGAGACACUGCCCGGACUCCUACGGGGGGCUGCAGUAACGAAUCUUCCGCAAUGCACGAAAGUGUGACGGAGCGACGCCGCGUGGAGG
rnacentral:rRNA from 1 species